rnacentral:rRNA from 1 species
GUGGGGAAUUUUGGACAAUGGGCGAAAGCCUGAUCCAGCCAUGCCGCGUGCAGGAUGAAGGCCUUCGGGUUGUAAACUGCUUUUGUACGGAACGAAAAGACUCCUUCUAAUAAAGGGGGUCCAUGACGGUACCGUAAGAAUAAGCACCUGCUAACUACGUGCCAGCAGCCGCGGUAAUACGUAGGGUGCAAGCGUUAAUCGGAAUUACUGGGCGUAAAGCGUGCGCAGGCGGUUAUAUAAGACAGAUGUGAAAUCCCCGGGCUCAACCUGGGAACUGCAUUUGUGACUGUAUAGCUAGAGUACGGUAGAGGGGGAUGGAAUUCCGCGUGUAGCAGUGAAAUGCGUAGAUAUGCGGAGGAACACCGAUGGCGAAGGCAAUCCCCUGGACCUGUACUGACGCUCAUGCACGAAAGCGUGGGGAGCAAACAGGAUUAGAUACCCGUGUAGUCC